rnacentral:tRNA from 1 species
UAUGGUCGAGUGGUUAGGAUUCCUGGUUUUCACCCAGGCAGCCUCGGUUCGACUCCUGGUA